rnacentral:rRNA from 1 species
UUUGAAAUCUGGUAGCCUUCGGUUGCCCGAGUUGUAAUCUAGAGAAGUGUUUUCCGUGCCGGCCCAUGUACAAGUCCCUUGGAACAGGGCGUCAUAGAGGGUGAGAAUCCCGUCCUUGACAUGGACCCCCGGUGCUUUGUGAUACACUUUCAACGAGUCGAGUUGUUUGGGAAUGCAGCUCAAAAUGGGUGGUGAAUUCCAUCUAAAGCUAAAUAUUGGCGAGAGACCGAUAGCGAACAAGUACCGUGAGGGAAAGAUGAAAAGCACUUUGGAAAGAGAGUUAAACAGUACGUGAAAUUGUUGAAAGGGAAACGAUUGAAGUCAGUCAUGCUCUUGGGACUUACCUCCCUUGAGUGGGGUCAACAUCAGUUUUGAUCGAUGGAUAAAGGCACGGGGAAGGUAGCACUCUCGGGUGAACUUAUAGCCUCGCGUCAUAUACAUUGAUUGGGACUGAGGAACGCAGCAUGCCUUAUGGCCGGGAUUCGUCCACGUACAUGCUUAGGAUGUU